GUGCCAGCAGCCGCGGUAAUACGAAGGGGACUAGCGUUGUUCGGAAUCACUGGGCGUAAAGCGCACGUAGGCGGAUAUGUAAGUGAGGGGUGAAAUCCCGGGGCUCAACCUCGGAACUGCCUUUCAUACUGCGUAUCUCGAGUCCGAUAGAGGUGGGUGGAAUUCCUAGUGUAGAGGUGAAAUUCGUAGAUAUUAGGAAGAACACCGGUGGCGAAGGCGGCCCACUGGAUCGGUACUGACGCUGAGGUGCGAAAGCGUGGGGAGCAAACAGGAUUAGAUACCCCCGUAGUCC
rnacentral:rRNA from 1 species